rnacentral:tRNA from 2 species
AGCGUAGCUCAGUUGGUUAGAGCGAUCGGCUCAUACCCGGUAUGUCGAGGGUUCGAGUCCCCCCGCU